GCUGCCGGGCCGCGCUUCCCUCAGGGCGCUGCGCCUGGGCCGGCCCCGCUUGGUCCGGUCCCUGAGCCCCCCUCAGGCCCGUCCCUGCAGCUCUCCGCGGCCCUUGCUCGCCGUUCCCCCUGCCCAGCACAGGGGAAGGGGAGAAUGGGACAGACCUGAGCGCAAUUGAUGUCGUCCAGCUUUGACCGCUGUGCCCUUCAGCUUCCUUGAAGCCCAGACGUGGCUAGCGGCGGGCACUUCGCCAUCCGUACCCAAUGUUGUUGCUGUGUUGCUGGUUUUCACCCCUGCUUAGUCCUUUCGGUAUCACUGUAUUUAGGACCAACAUGUGUGACAAACUGAAACACAAACCAGGGGAUGUCACACACUGCAGCUGAGAGAAAACAAUGUAAUUUACAAAAGGAUUUCAGCUCCGUCCUUCCUCUCACCUCUCAUCAGCUAAAAUGCUUGUUUUUGUCUGGCUACACAUCAUUUGUGAUGUGACUUUCAUAUUUGACAAAAUAAACAUGCAGAACUUGUA